GACGAACGCUGGCGGCGUGCUUAACACAUGCAAGUCGAGCGGAAAGGCCCUUCGGGGUACUCGAGCGGCGAACGGGUGAGUAACACGUGAGUAACCUUCCCCCGACUUUGGGAUAACCCUCGGAAACGGGGGCUAAUACCGGAUACGACACAGCUUCGCAUGGGGUCUGUGUGGAAAGUUUUUCGGUUUGGGAUGGGCUCGCGGCCUAUCAGCUUGUUGGUGGGGUGAUGGCCUACCAAGGCGACGACGGGUAGCCGGCCUGAGAGGGCGACCGGCCACACUGGGAAUGAGACACGGCCAAGACUCCUACGGGAGGCAGCAGUGGGGAAUAUUGCACAAGGGGCGGAAGCCUGAUGCAGCGACGCCGCGUGAGGGAUGACGGCCUUCGGGUUGUAAACCUCUUUCAGCAGGGACGAAGCGUAAGUGACGGUACCUGCAGAAGAAGCGCCGGCCAACUACGU
rnacentral:rRNA from 1 species